AAUAUUGGACAAUGGGGGGAACCCUGAUCCAGCCAUGCCGCGCGUGUGAAGAAGGUCUUCGGAUUGUAAAGCACUUUAAGUUGGGAGGAAGAGUGGUAGGCUAUUACCGUGCAAUUUUGACGUUACCAACAGAAUAAGCACCGGCAAACUGCGUCCCGCCACCCGCGGUAAUCCGAAGGGUGCAAGCGUUAAUCGGAAUUACUGGGCGUAAAGCGCGCGUAGGUGGUGCGUUAAGUUGGAAGUGAAAGCCCCGGGCUUAACCUAGGAAUUGCUUUCAAAACAGACGAGCUAGAGUACGGUAGAGGGUAGUGGAAUUUCCUGUGUAGCGGUGAAAUGCGUAGAUAUAGGAAGGAACAUCAGUAGCGAAGGCGACUACCUGGACUGAUACUGACACUGAGGUGCGAAAGCGUGGGGAGCAAACAGG
rnacentral:rRNA from 1 species